UCGAGCGCCCCGCAAGGGGAGCGGCAGACGGGUGAGUAACGCGUGGGAACGUACCCCCCGGUUCGGAAUAACUCAGGGAAACUUGAGCUAAUACCGGAUACGGCUGGAAGGCGAAAGAUUCAUCGCCGGGGGAUCGGCCCGCGUCCGAUUAGCUAGUUGGUGUGGUAAUGGCGCACCAAGGCGACGAUCGGUAGCUGGUCUGAGAGGAUGAUCAGCCACAUUGGGACUGAGACACGGCCCAAACUCCUACGGGAGGCAGCAGUGGGGAAUAUUGGACAAUGGGCGCAAGCCUGAUCCAGCCAUGCCGCGUGAGUGAUGAAGGCCUUAGGGUUGCAAAGCUCUUUCACCCACGACGAUAAUGACGGUAGUGGGAGAAGAAGCCCCGGCUAACUUCGUGCCAGCAGCCGCGGUAAUACGAAGGGGGCUAGCGUUGUUCGGAAUUACUGGGCGUAAAGCGCGUGUAGGCGGGUCUUUAAGUCAGGGGUGAAAUGCCAAGGCUCAACCUUGGAACUGCCUUUGAUACUGGAGAUCUUGAGUCCGGGAGAGGUGAGUGGAACUGCGAGUGUAGAGGUGGAAUUCGUAGAUAUUCGCAAGAACACCAGUGGCGAAGGCGGCUCACUGGCCCGGAACUGACGCUGAGACGCGAAAG
rnacentral:rRNA from 1 species